rnacentral:SRP_RNA from 1 species
GCUGGGCAUGGUGGCGCAUGCCUGUAAUCCCAGCUACUUGGGAGGCUGAGGCAGGAGAAUCACUUGAACCCAGGAGGCAGAAGUUGCAGUGAGCCAAGAUCACGCCAUUACACUCCAGCCUGGGUAACAAGAGUGAAACUCUGUCUCAA